UUUUUUAAGCAACAAUUAAAAAGUAUUUAACCAAUUGGAACAAUACAUAGAAGAUUAGCAUGGGCCUUAUGCAAGGAUGACACGCACAAAUAGAGAAAUGAACCAACUUUUU
rfam:Picea glauca, whole genome shotgun sequence.